rnacentral:rRNA from 1 species
UACGUAGGGUCCGAGCGUUGUCCGGAAUCAUUGGGCGUAAAGAGCGUGUAGGCGGCUCGGUAAGUCCGCUGUGAAAGUCCAGGGCUCAACCCUGGAAUGCCGGUGGAAACUGUCGAGCUCGAGUCCGGAAGAGGCGAGUGGAAUUCCUGGUGUAGCGGUGAAAUGCGCAGAUAUCAGGAGGAACACCAAUGGCGAAGGCAGCUCGCUGGGACGGUACUGACGCUGAGACGCGAAAGCGUGGGGAGCAAACAGG